UUCAUUUACAAGCCCGUUUUGCUGACUUGCAUGCACCAUCUUGCCAAACAUCCUGUGAACACGUUUGCACAGAUAUUUGCGUAACUAAAUUACUUUGUGUGGGUUCCAACUGAAGCACAGAUAAACCCAUCUGUAUAGUUAUUAAAAUCUUAGGGCGCUUUAUAAAUUCUUGAACGACUACUGCUACUAUCAGUAGAAUGGUUGUUUAUAGAUAAAAGAAGCACCAAGCCACAAAGCAUACUCAUUAAAAAAAAAAAAAGGCAGAGGUGUGGAAUUUAACGUUCAACAAAGGAGUAGAGCAACCUCAAGAGUAAGCACAAAGAUCAAGCAAGAAAAUCAUGAGAUCCGAGACAGAAGCAAUAUCUAGAUUACUUCUUUCUGAUCUGCGCAGUUACGUAUGUGAGUUCCUUGCUUGAACAGAACAACUUCUGGACCAUCUACAACAAACCUAAAGUCUCACAUCUGGGACUGCCUCAAGACCAGAUGAAGGAGAGUAUGCGACAUGACGAAGCUCUCCCAGAUGCCAAAUCACCAACUCUUCUGGAAACCGUAUUGCUGACUACAAAUACUCACUUAAGUUUGCAAGAUGUUCCGUCGUUUUAUCAUGACAUCGUUAAGGAAUAAAAGCAUCAGCACAGAAAUGGGAAGAAUGCCACAAAAUUACUGUCAUUUCUAUCUGGAUGUUUUGAUGUACAUAUCAGCAUCCUAUAACACAGGCAUAAAGCAAUUGAAGCUUUCAAUUGCCAUUGAUAGAAAAAGCUAAUGUGUCAUCUUAAAAAAAACAAAGCCAGUCAUGAUGGAAGGAGUGGGAAGGAACAGUUGCCCUUGUGUACAUGUCAAUCAAAAACAGCAGAAAGUAGCCUGCAAAAAUAAUUAACACGCUCAACCUGCUGUUUGGGGUUGAUCGAGCAGUUUUGCUAAGUUAUUCUUUCAAAGUAGAAGCUGUAAUCCCAGCCAGAACAUUAUAAACCAUUGAACCAUCCUCCAGAUCAGGCUGAUUAGCAGAAUCCAGCGGAGAGACAGAACAGAGUUCUUGGAAGAGCUCAUUCCCAGAAUGUUGGCUAGCUAUCCUCUGCUUGAACAUAUCCGUGAAGAUGUACAUUAACAAUCCAUGAGCACAAAGAGAAAGACCUUGAAGGAUAAAGUU